rnacentral:tRNA from 1 species
GCCUGGGUGGCUCAGUCGGUUAAGCGACCGAUUUCAACUCAGGUCAUGAUCUUGUGGUCUGUGGGUUCAGGCCCCACAUCAGGCU